UCAACCAGCAUGCUCAAGCUAUCUCUGCAUUCAGAGGUUGCUGUAAGUCUGGAUGACACUUAGAGCAGUUUGUGGUGCCUCUAGACUUCUUUCUGGAAGAUUUCUGUUUCAGAGAUCUGAGAACCUUGGUCUAAGAAACAGAGGGAACCUCAAAUGCUGCCCAGCCAUAGCCAUGUACAAUUAGACAUCCCUGGACGCUUUUCUGAACCUAGAAGAGUAGAGGAACGUUUUCUCCCUCCCUGACAGCUGGUGUAGUUGGUGAGAUAAACUUCCCUGGCUGGACUCCGCUCCCCCUGAGGCUGCUACAGCUGAGCGAUACUGGGACAUCUGACAAGUGCUCCAAGACCUGGGCUCUGAGUUAUUUGGCUCAUCAGGGACGGAGGCUGAUCUUUCCGCAACAAAGCUGCAGCAAGUUUCUUGAAAAUGCAAGCAAGAGGGCUAACCCCUCCGCAACCUGUCAGAGAUCUUCUGCAUGAAGAUUCUCUUCAAUUAGAAGAGUAAAUCCAGAAGAAUAGACCAAAUAUCAUUACUAAGCUAAUGGACUGAGUAAUCUGUAUUAGAAGAUCAUCUUCUGAUCUAGU